UUCACCCCUUUUUGGUUUAACUAAAGAUAAACUUUAGCAUGAAAAACCAUUGAGGAAUAAGUGACAAAAGUCGACUCUUUUAUAAGCAUUACCCCUUGUUGGAUCUACCUUCCACAUGAUGAUGCAAAACUGUCAAAAUGCCUUUCCUUAUGAAAAUUCCAGAUUUAUAGUACCUCUUCAUUCUAACUUAUGAUUUACUACUUAAUACCUUUAAAAGAAAAAUAUA